CUGAAUUCUGGAGUGUGUGUGCAGAAUGCCCUACUCAUGUCCAUGCCCACCUGUCAAAAUCUUACCUGUCUAAGAUGCAGAUUUCACAUCAGCAAGAAGUUGAGGAACUAGCCCAGGGCCACACAGGGGAUCCAAGGAGGCCACUCAUCGCAGAGCAAUGCAAAUGGAAGAUAAUCAUAGGAAAGGAUGCUCAGACUCAAUGGGAGCCAAAGAAAUGAAAAUCAAGACAACAGUGAGCUAUCACUGUCUACCCAUCAGAGGGCUAACAAUGACAAGGAAGCAACAACUCAUGCUGUAGGGAAGGGGGGACAGGUACUCUCACCAACUGCUAAUGGGAAUAGAACUAUUUUGGGGAACAUCUUCUGGAACUAUCUAUCAAAAAUAAAAAAACCAUACCCUUCAGCUCAGCACUUUUACUCUUGGGAAUCUCCCCAUGGGAAAUAAAAGCAGUAGUUCACAAAGAUACACACACAUAUACAAGGAUGUUUAUGGAAGCAGUUUAUGGAUGUUUAUAGAGAUAUUUAUUUGUAAA